GCCAGGCAUGGUGGUGCAUGCCUGUAAUCCCAGCUAUUUGGGAGGUUAAGAAAGAAUGAUCAUAAGUUCAAGGUCAGCCUCAGAAACUUAGUGAGACCCUGUCUCAA
rnacentral:sRNA from 1 species